AUACAUGCAUGGAUUUGUGUUUCACGAGACUACAAUGAAGUAACUCUUCUGAAAGAGGUUCUUCGGAAUAUUGGUGUGCAUCAUGAGCAAGGUGAAACCAUAGCAGAGCUGCAGAGGAAGCUUGCAGAAACCAUUGAAGGAAGGAGUUUCUUUUUGGUUCUGGAUGAUGUGUGGCAUUCCAAUGUGUGGACGGAUUUACUAAGACCUGCGUUUCAUGAAACAACUGCGGGAAUAAUAUUGGUAACCACACGAGAUGAUCAAAUUGCAAUGAGAAUAGGGAUACAACAUACCCAUCAAGUUGAUCUCAUGUCAGCAGAGGUGGGGUGGGAGCUACUUUGGAAGAGCAUGAACAUUGACGAAGAGAAAGAAGUGCAGAAUUUAAGAAACACAGGAAUUGAGAUUGUUCGUAAAUGUGGUCACCUCCCUCUUGCAAUCAAGGUUACCGCUAGUGCUUUGGCAAGCAGAGAUCUAACGGAGAAUGAGUGGAAAAAGUAUUUGGGCAAAUAUGCUGGUUCCCAGAACAUGCUCUUGGAUGAAAUAGAAGGAGCUUUGUAUCUAAGCUAUGAUGAGUUAACACAUCGUCUGAAGCAGUGUUUCCUUUAUUGUGCUUUGUAUGCUGAAGAUUCUAUCAUUGAGCGUGAAGAAGUUACCAGGUUAUGGAUUGCUGAAGGAUUCAUCGAGGAGCAGCAAGGCCAACUACUAGAAGACAUAGCAGAAGAGUACUACUACGAGCUAAUACAUCGGAAUCUCCUCCAGCCAGAUAUUAACAGUUUUGACCAGGCUGAAUGCAAAAUGCAUGACCUCUUGAGGCAGCUUGCUUUAAAUAUAUCAAGAGAAGAAUGUUUUGUUGGAGAUGUUGAAUUAUUAAGGGGUGGAAAUAUGUCAAAACUUAGACGUGUUACUGCUGUCAGUAAGAAAGAUAUGUUAGUGUUACCUAGAGUGGAUAAGGUGGAUGUUAAGGUGAGGACUUUCCUAACUGUUAAGGGUCCAUGGAGAAUUGAGGAUACAUUGUUCAAGAAAUCUCUGCUUCUUCGUGUUUUGGUACUGAAUUACUCACUUGUACAAAGCACUCCAGAGUAUAUAGGAAAAUUGAUACAUCUACGUCUACUUAAUCUGGAUUAUACUGGCAUAUCUUGUCUUCCGGAAUCCAUUGGCUCCCUAAAGAACCUUCAAGUACUGAGCUUGAGAUGGUGUGAUGAUCUGCACACUCUUCCUUUGGCAAUGAUCCUGUUGAGCAGCUUAAGAUGUCUUGAUCUUUGUGGCACCGAAAUAAAUGAGCUUCCAAAAGGGAUAGGGAAACUGAAGUUCCUCACUUUUGUAGAAGAUUAUCCUGUUGGUGAUGGAAGUGAGAAUGCUGUUGUACAAGAUGGAUGGAAGUUGGAAGAGUUGUCUUCUUUGUCGCAGUUUUAA
rnacentral:rRNA from 1 species